rnacentral:misc_RNA from 1 species
UACAAAAUGAGUACUCUAACCACUAGUUGAGUCCCAAACAUAUUAACUAAUCGAGUUUGUCAACUUACAAAAGAGGCUUGCACUGGAAACAUGAAAUAGUUUCAGCGGUACACUGAUUGUAAUCGCCCUUCUUUGAUAGUCGCAUCUCAAAGACUUGCCUAUAACAACAGACCUGAAAAUUCACUUAGAAACACUUCCUACGGACAAUUAAUGUACCAGACUUGUCGUACUCGCUCUUCAAAAUCCACAUCUGAUUAAGCACAAAACAUGUUUAAGUUAGCAACAACACAUAAGUUUCAAAAUGUAGCUUAAAAUUGCAAAAGUAUAUGCAAGAGAAGAUAUUUGAAGACAGUGAUUUUCUUACUCGUUGGAUUAACACCCUGCAAAUGUAUAUCUAUAGCCCUUACCUAUCAAAAUGUAGUUGUCUGGUCGCUAUACGAAAGAAAAAAGAUGUUUAGCAUUUUUGUCUACCUCUUUUACCUAUCAAAAUUUCUAGUGACAUAGGAUGGUUGAUGAUUACAAGAACUAAAAACUUUCGAUUGAACAUGGUGGCAGAAGCUACAUAUGAUUUCUUUGGCAAUUGAGACGUGAAUUAAAA